rnacentral:lncRNA from 10 species
CCAGACUUGGAACACUCAGGAAUACAGACAGACGUAGGAAUUGCUUAAAAACAAGAAGUUCUCCCACCCUUGUUGGAGCGAAUGCGCGAGUCUGACAGUGAACCUUUUGGGAAAGAGCCAGCAUUGUAACCGUGCUCGGUGACUUCUCUGGCUUUAUAGGGAACAGAUGUGAGGAUAGCAAGGGGCGCACACGUGAAAUGCCUGGCAGGUACCCCUUUGUGGCUCUACUUACUUCUUGCCAUUCCUCUGCCCUCCAAGUGUAGAGGGGACACCGUGGGCCUUGGCAGUCGCGUUCCGACUCCGGUCUGGUGUAUGGGUUGCACUCGGUCUCUCUGGCUAUUUUGUGUGUUCCGAUCUGACAGCCCACAUGCCUCUGCUGUACGCCUCGGCCACAGGACACAGAGCACUAAGAAGACAGAGAACAUUCACAGUCUGGUGAGACAAGUUUGAGAUCUCAUAUUUUCAGCUCAUCCUUGAAAACCUUUCUUCGAUUUGACUGACCUUGAUGGCUCCCUGGAAUCUCACCUACAUUUUAUGGGAAAUUCAACUCUCCAGAGAGAAGAGCUUUCAGAUAGCUGCGGGACUUGCAACUGUGACUUUCAGCUUUCGCUUUUGAAUGAGGCUCCAAAUGUCUCAAUGGUGGCACUAUUUCCAGAUUUGGGAGCCCUGCAAAGCUAAUCUGCUCAACCUUCACCUACUGGGUUCAAUGAAUAUGAAAAGCUGCCUUCCUGAAACUUUUCCUUCAAAGAGGGAAUGAUCUCCUGGAAUUCAAGCUUCUACAAGGUGGCUACCUGGUGUUUUCCACUUUUGCCGUCUCCUAAAAAGCAUCAUUCAAGCCUUGCCCUUUCAACCCACUGAACACAUAAACAUGCUUUCUCCUUAACUGAACUUAUGGCCACGAUGAACUUGAACUCUGAGAUUCACAGAGGAGAGUUUGUUUUAACAGCUGCUUUUACAAUGAAGCCCUGGAGUUACUACUCUCAAGACCCCUGGUUCUGAUAGGCCAUCUUUUCACUGUCCUCUGCAUUUUCUAAUGCCCAGCUGUCAAGGAACACCCACUGAAGUUUUCCAAAACAAAGGCACGAAACACAAGAAAGGCAAGAGAAUGCUAAUCACCAGAUGCAUGGGCAUCCUAUGGGGGAACCCCUUACAUGUGGAAUACGGUUUUUCUCCCCAAUUUAUUUUUAUAAAUUUAUUGAUUUCUUUGCUAGUUUGUUAUUAAUUGUUAGAGAUGUCCUGUUGCCUGAGGUUGCCCUGUCCGAUAUGGUAGCCACCAGCGACAGGUAGCUAUUUAGAGUAAUUUAAAAAUUACAUUAAAAAUGCAGUUUCCUUGUCACUUAACCAUGUUUCAAGUGCUCAGUAUUAACCACAUGUGACUAGUGGCUUCCAUAAAGGAAGGCAAAAAUAGAGAACAUUUACAUCGCUGCAGAAAGCUACUAGAUUUUUUUGGCCAAGGCAUAAGCUCUUUCUCAUAAGAGAAAGGGGAUGCAGAUCUUGCUAAGAGUGAUGGAUUUCUGGGUUCAGCCUACAUGAGUCAUCUUCCAUACUACCCCUGGACAUGCUUUCCUUGGCUGCCAAUUUUCUAUUUUAUAAAUUUCAGGAAAGAGAGAUUAUGGUUGUUAAAACCAUUCAUGACAAUGAUCCCACUUUAGAGAAAACAACAGCAACAAGCAAAGAAGAUGGUGUGGAGAUCCGCACAUUCCACAUCUUUUAAUUGGUACCCAUUAAAUAACAAAGGGAAAAAGUACCCUCAGACCACAACUCUCCACCUUGUGUGGAGGCCAAGGACCCAGCAGGGAGAAGGCAGAAGAUUAGGUUCUCCACUCAUCCUGGCUCUCAGACCACUGAACUCACAUUUGGGUUCUAAUGGAAUGGUGAUUGGAAGCAUAUUCUCCAAUAGGAGGUUUUUAAAAGUUCUGUGCCAUCAGCCAGGCAGCAUCUGUCAUUUAAAAUGACUGGCCAGUUGCACGUUUAAAAGCAAAGAUAAAAUUGCUAAUUUAUACUUACUGAAUAAACAUCAGCAGUAUCCAUGAAGGUACCUACCCUAAUAGCAAGUUGUAUUUUUAUUUUUAUGGUGGUGGCGAAGCUGCCAGGAAAACCAAAGCAUCAGUUCUUUAAUUACAUUUGUUUAGUAUUGAUUUAAUACUAAAAUUUCUCUUGCUCCCUUAGAACAAAGAGCUCUAACUUGUACACUGCUGUAUCCUUAGCACCUGGAACAGUCCCUGGCCUACAAUAGGCACUUAGAAAGUAUUUGUUAAAAAUUGAUUUUUUUUUUUUAAAGAAACAACCCAGAGUUUUUUUAUUCUGCCCCAACCCCCAACCCCUGGCAUUAAAAUAAAUCUUCCUCAACUGCCAUCACUAAUCGCCAGGAUUCCCUCCUAGCCAAUUAUGCUUGGACUCAACCUCUACCUCCCACUCCACAUUCCAAAGUUUCUAUUUCUUUCCAUUCCAGAAGGGCAACUCCACAACAGGAGUGAGGGAGAGGACCUGGACUCCUCCUCAGAGUCCAAUAACACUCCUAACCCUGCUCCCCCAACCUGUGGACUUUUUAAAUCCAUGAAAAUAGAACCUGUCAAGCUACCACAAAAUAGCAUCAGAAGGCAGGAUCAGUCUUUCAUAGGCAUACAAUCUCUGUAAAUACUGAAAAAAGAUUAUUAAAAGCCUGCUAAGUUUUGUCUCCAGUGAAAUAGAUGCAGGCAAGUAUUUUGAUUGUUCUGAACACAUUAGAGAUGAGUGCUACACAGAACUAAGGUAAACUUUGUAAAUUCGUAUGUCAUAACACUUUGUUCCACAAAAAACUAUCUUAUUUUUUAUACUCCAUACUGAUACAGCCAAAUAAUGUGGCUCUUAUUUUCUAAAGAUGCCAGCAAUAUGUUUAAACAUGUCUUCAUUGUAGUAAAAGUAUCAUAUUUAUAAAAAAUACAUAUGCAUUUAAUGUGAUAUUCCUUAUAGUCAAAAUCUUGAUAUCAUCCUGUUAAUCUGGCUAAAAAUGUAUCUGUAAAAUGAAAGAGAGGAAUAUUUUGCCAUUCCCUAAACAACAGUUGUUUGAAGCUUUUGUAAUUGCUGGUUAUGGGAAUUUACCAAUAACAGGAAUGAAUUUGGAUUUUCUUUUGCUGGAAUCAAAUGGACAAUGUCAUAAUUAGCUAAAUAAUGUUGAGGCUAAAUGAAGUUUGAGUUUUAGGCACAUCCUUUAUGGAAUAUAAACAGGAACCUAAAAGUUCAUUCUGAACAUAGGUUGUUUCUUUCUGCCAAAACAAGAUUAAUAGUCAGUACCCUAACGACAAGGUCCUAUCACUGAAGUAGAUUAUCGGCUAGUCAAAUGGGUUCCUAACAGCACCUCCCUCAUGGGUUAAAACAAGAGGGUUAAUGUGAUGUGUAUUUGCUUAAUUUGGCUUGUUAUACAGUAAACACACAGCAAACGUUAGCUAUUGUUAUCUUCAUUUCCUUUGGAGAAGUUAUCUUAUUUCUCACCUUAUUAAAAAUAAACCCUAACUCAUACAGGGACCCUCCUUACCUUGGUCCUUUCACCCAUGAAUACCAUAAUAACCUAUACUGCAAAAAGGAGGCUCAGGAGGAGGAUGAGGUAUCAAUAGGCCUCCGGGUCAUUUUUAUGAUUUAGGUAUUUUUUGAAAAGGGUAGGCUCUCUUGAAACUUCCAAGGUAGUUGUUGUAGUAUUUUAUUUUCCUUUCAUAAGAAAUGCUUUCUGAAAUGUAUUGCAGUGAACAAAUAACAAAAUUGACAAAUGCUGUAAGCCUUUUACAGUUAUCUGAACACACAGAAUAAAGUGUAAUCAAAUUUGUGCACAUUAGGUUUGCUUUUUCCUGUACCUAGCUGUCUCUUAUGUGUUCAGAACCAUUUCUUCCAAUCACCUUUUUUUGUCUUCUGGCUAUAAUUUAUCAUUAUCUACAAAUUCAAUAAAUGGAGCAUGCA